GGUGAACGCUGGCGGCGUGCUUAAGACAUGCAAGUCGAACGCAGUCUUCGGACUGAGUGGCGCACGGGUGAGUAACACGUAACUGACCUACCCCCAAGUCGCGAAUAACCAGCCGAAAGGAUGGCUAAUACGUGAUGUGAUGAUCCGCUGUGGCGGAUCAUUAAAGACUUGAUCGCUUGGGGAUGGGGUUGCGUUCCAUCAGCUAGUUGGUAAGGUAAAGGCGUACCAAGGCAACGACGGAUAGCCGGCCUGAGAGGGUGGCAGGCCACAGGGGCACUGAGACACGGGUGCCACUCCUACGGGAGGCAGCAGUGAGGAAUCUUCCACAAUGGGCGCAAGCCUGAUGGAGCGACGCCGCGUGAGGGAUGAAGGUUCUCGGAUCGUAAACCUCUGAACCAACGACGAAAGACCCGACAAGGGAGAUGACGGUAGUUGGGUAAUAGCACCGGCUAACUCCGUGCCAGCCGCCGCGGUAAGAC
rnacentral:rRNA from 1 species